ACUGUGCUAGAUAUGAGUGGACCUCGAGAACACGAGGCUAGACGAAUGGAGCUAGUCAAGAGAUGCUAUUUCCUGUGGGACUCUCUUUGUACGGCACAUUCGGAGCAGACACUUCCUGAAAGAGAAAGUGGAACAGAGAUGGCCAGGGAAUGAGAGAGAGGGACUAGAAGUGACGACAGCUAAGAGCUGAAAGCAGAGAGAGGAGAAAAACCUUGGAUACAAACCAACCCUGGAGCCCACUGCUGGCAGACCACGCCUGAAACGAUCAAACUCUUAAGGCAGGAAAACAUGACAGGUGUCAGAGACUGAUACGUCUAUGAAGAUAGGGCAUGUGGCAGAGAGGGAACGAACAAAGAAAUAACUGGACACCAGUAUUAUACCAUCCCAGAGUAUAUGGAAGUUUAUACAAAGGCAACCCCAAAACGCCAUGAUUCAUUGAAAAUGAGAAGGCAUUCCCACUACUAAAUGGUAUAAACAGUAAGAUUACUUUUUGAUGUUUUCUUUCUUUUUCCCCACUCCCUAUGGGCCUGUGGGGGCCAUUUGUUAUUCAAACCUUCACUCCACCUUCUGGCUCCCAUAGACUUGUGGCCAUAACAUAAUGCAGAAUGCAUUUAGUCCAAUUCAAAAGUCCCCAUAGUCUGUAACAGUCUCAAACUUGUUUAA